CACGUAGUUAGCCGUGGCUUUCUGGUUAGGUACCGUCAAGGUACCGCCCUAUUCGAACGGCACUUGUUCUUCCCUAACAACAGAGCUUUACGAUCCGGAAACCUUCAUCACUCACGCGGCGUUGCUCCGUCAGACUUUCGUCCAUUGCGGAAGAUUCCCUA
rnacentral:rRNA from 1 species